rnacentral:pre_miRNA from 1 species
UUUCUAUUACCUUUGUCCCAAAUUACUUGUCUUAGAUUUGUCUAGAUAUGGAUGUAUCUAGACACGUUUAGAUACAUCCAUAUCUAGGCAAAUCUAAGACAAGUAAUUCGGGACGAAGGGAGUAUAUA